GAAUAUUCAUGGCUAAGCUUGAACUGCCAGUGGUCUUGUGAUCCGUUGAGAAAUUUUGGAUCGAAUCACAGCCAACUGGUGGCUCAGCUUGCUGUGUGCUGCACUUUU